GCGGAUGUAGUUCAACUGGAUAGAACACCUGACUACGGAUCAGGCGGUUCCGGGUUCGAACCCUGGCAUCCGCACCA
rnacentral:tRNA from 1 species